rnacentral:misc_RNA from 1 species
GAAAUGCGAUAAUUAAUUUGAAUUGCAGAAUUCAGUGAAUCAUCGAGUCUUUGAACGCACAUUGCGCCCCCUGGUAUUCCGGGGGGCAUGCCUGUCCGAGCGUCAUUGCUGCCCUCAAGCACGGCUUGUGUGUUGGGCUUCCGUCCCUGGCAACGGGGACGGGCCCAAAAGGCAGUGGCGGCACCAUGUCUGGUCCUCGAGCGUAUGGGGCUUUGUCACCCGCUCCCGUAGGUCCAGCUGGCAGCUAGCCUCGCAACCAAUCUUUUUAACCAGGUUGACCUCGGAUCAGGUAGGGAUACCCGCUGAACUUAAGC